rnacentral:rRNA from 1 species
AGAAUCAACGCUGGCGGCGUGCCUAACACAUGCAAGUCGCACGAGAAAGGGGAUUCGUCCCUGAGUAAAGUGGCGCACGGGUGAGUAACACGUGAAUUAUCUACCUCCGAGUGGGGAAUAACUGAGAGAAAUCUUAGCUAAUACCGCAUAACACUUACGAGUCAAAGCAGCAAUGCGCUUGGAGAGGAGUUCGCGGCCGAUUAGUUAGUUGGCGGGGUAAUGGCCCACCAAGACGAUGAUCUGUA